GUAGACUUACUGAGUAUACUCAAUUCCCCAUCAUAUGGGGACAAGUAAACUAUAAUGAGGAUAGAAAAAGACAAUGAGCUUUGGAAAAAAAUUAAAAUUACCUAGGAGUUGACAAAAAGCACCUACUCACUGGAAGGCUUCUAUCGUUGGGCACUACCUGGGAAUGGCAGACCCCCAUGCUGGAUCGAACACAACCUGAGAAUGCUCCUCCCUGGCCAACCGGAAAUACAACUUAUCCAAAUAGAGCUUGUUUUCUCAACCCACAGCCCCUCUGGAGAACAAGGCAGUGACCUAUUUCCACGUAUAGCAGCCUGUGUGGCCAGAGGUCCCAUUCCAUUCAGCCAUGUGAGACACAGAAUUGGCUAGACAAAGCUUCAGGGUCACAACAUUCAAGGAGAGAACAGCUCCAGCCGCUUCCACGUGGGCAGCCACUGCUGUUCACUUUCAAGAUUCCACCACAUUUGUGACUCAACCUGUUUCUACUACUUUUGCUGCCACCGACUGAUGGACUCCCUCCACAGACCUUUCAUCCAGAUUCCCCAAGAGAGAGGAUCUGAUUGGCUGGGGACUGCCCAACCUCUCAAUCUGGAACAGCAGGUCUCCUGAGCCAAGUAAAGCAGUGAAAGGACGGAGCAGUCUUUCAGUCGGCCUUCCUAAGGAAAGAGACUUGCAUGGAGGCCCAUAGAAGCAAGGGGCACACAAAACGAGCUUCAGGUGCUUCAUUCCCCUCUUCCAGACACAGAACAUGACAGGCUUAGAGGGAUAUGCCCAAAGGAACAGGGCUAUUCUCUGCACAACCACCUCACAUGCAGCCAGGCAAAGCCAAUCAAACCAGAGCCACCACAUGGGUGACACUAAUGGUGUGUGCCCUUUGCCACGUACGACACUGCUCCCCAGGCAGCAUCUCACUUAAAUCCUCAAAAGAACACCAUGACGUGAGUGUGCUGGUCAUCCUACUGCUCAGAUGAAAAACUAAGGCUUAGAGAGGGUGCCCUGACCUGCCCAAGGGUGCACCAGCCCUAGCUGGUUAAGCCGGGGUUUGAACCCAGGAAGUCAGCCUUCAAGUCCAGGCUCACUAAGCACUCUGUAGUCCCCACUGGCAAUCUGCUGAGUGGAUGAACUCAGCCUUUGGCUUCCUUGCCUUAAUCUCAGAGGCAUUAGAGCAAAUGCCCCACUUGGGGCUACCAGGCCCCGGCCCCAUGAGCCUCUGCUGCACAAGCCGCUUCCCCAUCGGUGCACAGCCUCUGGUCCCCAGAGUCCUGCAGUGGAUUCCACAGGGUUAUCUAAGGCUAGAGAGAAGUGAGCUGCAGACUCUUUUGUUCCCUGGAUCUCUUUGUCCAUCUUCCUACACCAGCACCAGAUGGCCUGUGAGGAUCAAAAGAAAGGCUCUGGAGACAUCCUCAUGCCGAGCAAUCUGUGUUUUGCUGCUUCGUUUGGAUUCUCGGAUCUGUAUUAUGUGUGAGAACCUGCCAGGAACACUCCAGGAAUUUAGCUCAGAGACAAGACUGAAGUGACUAGAAAAUAGAGGUCGUGAUGUCCACUGUCCCUCAAACUGGACUUCUUCCAUUAGUUCUUUUAAUUUUAAAGCAGUGUUAGUACAUUUGUACCUG
rnacentral:lncRNA from 1 species